CCUACGGGAGGCAGCAGUGGGGAAUAUUGGGCAAUGGGCGCAAGCCUGACCCAGCAACGCCGCGUGGGUGAAGAAGCGCCUCGGCGCGUAAAGCUCUGUUUGCAGGGAAGAAAAUGUCAGUACCUGAAUACGACUCACCGGCUAAAUACGUUCCAGCAGCGGCAGUACUACGUAGGGGGCAAGCGUUAUCCGGAUUUACUGGGUGUAAGGGGGGCGCAGACGGAGUUGCAAGUCAGUAGGGAAAGGCCGGGGCCCAACCCCGGGACUGCUCUUGGAACUGCGUAGCUGGAGUGCAGGUGGGGCAGGCGGAAUGACUGGUGUAGCGGUGAAAUGCGUAGAGAUCAGGAGGAACACCGGUGGCGAAGGCGGCCUGCUGGACUGUAACUGACGUUGAGGCCCGAAAGCGUGGGGAGCAAACAGGAUUAGAUACCCGAGUAGUC
rnacentral:rRNA from 1 species